rnacentral:rRNA from 1 species
UGAACGCUAGCUACAGGCUUAACACAUGCAAGUCGAGGGGCAGCAUGGUCUUAGCUUGCUAAGGCCGAUGGCGACCGGCGCACGGGUGAGUAACACGUAUCCAACCUGCCGUCUACUCUUGGACAGCCUUCUGAAAGGAAGAUUAAUACAAGAUGGCAUCAUGAGUCCGCAUGUUCACAUGAUUAAAGGUAUUCCGGUAGACGAUGGGGAUGCGUUCCAUUAGAUAGUAGGCGGGGUAACGGCCCACCUAGUCUUCGAUGGAUAGGGGUUCUGAGAGGAAGGUCCCCCACAUUGGAACUGAGACACGGUCCAAACUCCUACGGGAGGCAGCAGUGAGGAAUAUUGGUCAAUGGGCGAGAGCCUGAACCAGCCAAGUAGCGUGAAGGAUGACUGCCCUAUGGGUUGUAAACUUCUUUUAUAAAGGAAUAAAGUCGGGUAUGGAUACCCGUUUGCAUGUACUUUAUGAAUAAGGAUCGGCUAACUCCGUGCCAGCAGCCGCGGUAAUACGGAGGAUCCGAGCGUUAUCCGGAUUUAUUGGGUUUAAAGGGAGCGUAGAUGGAUGUUUAAGUCAGUUGUGAAAGUUUGCGGCUCAACCGUAAAAUUGCAGUUGAUACUGGAUAUCUUGAAUGCAGUUGAGGCAGGCGGAAUUCGUGGUGUAGCGGUGAAAUGCUUAGAUAUCACGAAGAACUCCGAUUGCGAAGGCAGCCUGCUAAGCUGCAACUGACAUUGAGGCUCGAAAGUGUGGGUAUCAAACAGGAUUAGAUACCCUGGUAGUCCACACGGUAAACGAUGAAUACUCGCUGUUUGCGAUAUACUGCAAGCGGCCAAGCGAAAGCGUUAAGUAUUCCACCUGGGGAGUACGCCGGCAACGGUGAAACUCAAAGGAAUUGACGGGGGCCCGCACAAGCGGAGGAACAUGUGGUUUAAUUCGAUGAUACGCGAGGAACCUUACCCGGGCUUAAAUUGCAGAUGAAUUACGGUGAAAGCCGUAAGCCGCAAGGCAUCUGUGAAGGUGCUGCAUGGUUGUCGUCAGCUCGUGCCGUGAGGUGUCGGCUUAAGUGUCAUAACGAGCGCAACCCUUGUUGUCAGCUACUAACAGGUUCCGCUGAGGACUCUGACAAGACUGCCAUCGUAAGAUGUGAGGAAGGUGGGGAUGACGUCAAAUCAGCACGGCCCUUACGUCCGGGGCUACACACGUGUUACAAUGGGGGGUACAGAGGGCCGCUACCACGCGAGUGGAUGCCAAUCCCCAAAACCUCUCUCAGUUCGGACUGGAGUCUGCAACCCGACUCCACGAAGCUGGAUUCGCUAGUAAUCGCGCAUCAGCCACGGCGCGGUGAAUACGUUCCCGGGCCUUGUACACACCGCCCGUCAAGCCAUGGGAGCCGGGGGUACCUGAAGUGCGUAACCGCGAGGAGCGCCCUAGGGUAAAACUGGUGACUGGGGC